rnacentral:rRNA from 2 species
CAACUUUCAACAACGGAUCUCUCGGUUCUGGCAUCGAUGAAGAACGCAGCGAAAUGCGAUAAGUAGUGUGAAUUGCAGAAUUCAGUGAAUCAUCGAAUCUUUGAACGCACAUUGCGCCCUUUGGUAUUCCAAAGGGCAUGCCUGUUCGAGCGUCAUU